AAGAGGUUUUUCAACUCCCCUAGGCUUACCGGAAUUGGCCCCUCCAAGUUGCCUUCACUUGCAUCAAGACUAUUCAACCGCGAAAGGUUUCCUAGCGAUGAUGGUAUGAGCCCAGACAAGCUAUUGUUGCACAAGACAAGCUCGAUCAAGUUCGCUAGCUUGCCAAUGCUCUCUGGAAUCACUCCGUACAUGCCAGUAUAUCCUACCGCAAGGAUACUCCCAGAGAUCCUAUUAUCCAUCAAGAUUAACUGCUGGAGAGUUGUUGAGAGGUUCACAAUUGAACCUGGUAGUUGUCCUCCGAAAGAAUUCGUGUAGAAUACCAAAGAACGCAGUUGGCUGCAGUUUGCCAAAGAUGCGACGAAUUCCCAACCCUUGUUGUCAUUCGCUUCAAGAUUAUUUUCACCCAAGUUGACAAAUUGGAGAGCUUUGAGCCCCCCCAAUGUGGGAGGCACAUACCCACUAAAUCUGUUGUCCACGAGGUCAAGUAAUAUGAGGGAAGAUAUGUUGGAUAUUGAGGAAGGGAUGAUUCCUAUGAAGGGAUUACUACCCAAAGCAAGAUAUUUCAACUUGGGAAACUUGCUUGCGAUGUCAUCCGGAAUGCUUCCGUCUAGCAUAUUCCCCCCUACACUAAAUACUUCCAGUGAUGACCAAUUGUAG
rnacentral:rRNA from 1 species